GGUGAUGGCUGUGCCUGGGUCUGUCCAGAGUCCGUCCCGCCCCCGGCCUGACCCGGCAGGGUAGGAAGCCGGGCGGGGCUGGCGGGGCUCUCAGGCACGUGGGUCUCCGCCGCGGCGACUGGACGCCGGCGCUGGCAACCGGGAGUCGCGGCCGGGGCACUGCGGGCUGACGAGCGCCCUGCGAGGUGAGGGCGGGCCGCCUGCAGGGCCCGGAGACGAGGAGACGGCGGCGGGCGGGCCCGGCUACGCGGCCGGUGGCGACUCAGCCGGCGCCGGGCAGGCAGAGCGGAGCGCGCGGGGCUGGCCGAGGAGUCGCGGUUCCCAGCCGGUGUGAGCGCUCCGGCAGGUCCGUGGUCGAGCUGGGUCUCCACCGGAGCUUCGAACUUGUGGAAUGUGGACGAAUACCCGCACGGAUACCCGGGUGAAUGUGCACGGAUACCCGGGUGAAUGUGCGUCCGCGUAUUUGGGAAAGUCUGUGUGUCACUGGACCAAGAUUGCAGCAGAAGAGGCAGCCCGGGGAAGGCUCGGCCUGGCUGACUUCCUGUGACCCAGAGCCCAAGCUGUCUCCACCUCCCUGUCUCAGGAGCCCAGGCACUGCCUGCCCUGAGAAAUGCUGGAAGCUGGGCGAGGCUCCAGGCCAGGGGACCUGUUUUUCCUGUUUCCCACAGAGUUCCCUGCAGCUCGGUCCAGGGGUCCAGGCGGGUGCAUUCAUGAGUGAGGAACCUGAGCCUGCGCUGAGCAUCCUGACAGUGAGAGCAGGGGCUAGUCAGGGCGAUGGCCACAGGCCCAGGCCUCUGGAAUGGCACCAUCAAUGGCACCUGGGAUGGGGAUGAGCUGGGCUACAAGUGCCGCUUCAAUGAGAACUUCAAGUACGUGCUACUGCCUGUGUCCUACGGCGUGGUGUGCGUGCUCGGGCUGUGUCUGAACGCCGUGGCUCUCUACAUCUUCCUGUGCCGCCUCAAGACCUGGAACGCCUCCACCACAUACAUGUUUCACUUGGCCAUGUCGGAUGCGCUGUACGCGGCCUCCCUGCCCCUGCUGGUCUAUUACUACGCCCGUGGUGACCACUGGCCCUUCAGCACAGUGCUCUGCAAGCUGGUGCGCUUCCUCUUCUACACCAACCUUUACUGCAGCAUCCUCUUCCUCACGUGCAUCAGUGUGCACCGAUGCCUGGGUGUCUUGCGUCCACUGCGCUCACUGCGCUGGGGCCGGGCCCGCUAUGCCCGCAGGGUGGCCGUCGCCGUGUGGGUGCUGGUGCUGGCCUGCCAGGCACCCGUGCUUUACUUCGUCACCACCAGUGCACGUGGUGGCCGCAUUACCUGCCACGACACCUCGGCACCCGAGCUCUUCAGCCACUUCGUGGCCUACAGCUCCGUCAUGCUGAGCCUGCUCUUCACGGUGCCCUUCGCCAUCAUCCUGGUCUGUUAUGUGCUCAUGGCUCGGCGGCUGCUAAAGCCGACCUACGGGACCACGGGAGGCCUGCCGCGGGCCAAGCGCAAGUCGGUGCGCACCAUUGCCGUGGUGCUAGCUGUCUUUGCCCUCUGCUUCCUGCCUUUCCACGUCACCCGCACCCUCUACUACUCCUUCCGCUCGCUGGACCUCAGCUGCCACACCCUCAAUGCCAUCAACAUGGCUUACAAGGUCACCCGGCCGCUGGCCAGCGCCAACAGUUGCCUUGACCCUGUGCUCUACUUCCUGGCUGGGCAGAGGCUCGUGCGCUUUGCUCGGGAUGCCAAGGCACCCACAGACCCCACCCCUACCACCCAGCCUCGCCGCAGGCUGGGCCUGCACAGGUUCAACAGAACUGAUACUAAGAGGACAGAAGACUCGGCCAACAGUGAGAACUCUAGACAGACAGAGUCCACACCGUCUGGUGGUGAAAACACUAAGGACAUCCGGCUGUAGGACCUGAACCCCUUGGGCCUGUGCCAUUUUGUGUUGGGUGGGACUGUAGACUUGUUCAAAUGGGACAGUCUCCCCAGAUAUGGACCAUCAGUGAAUCAGGCCGGAUGGUCAAGGGGACCGUGACCCCAGUGCUCUGUCAUUUGACAGGGGCGCAGUUUGUUCUCUGUGGUCCAGAGAGCUCAGCAGUCCCCACAUCCCCAGUCACCAUUUGUAUGUGAGAUUUGGUGAGUAAGGUUUUAAGAAAGGCAAGGGUUUGGGGCCAGUGAUGCCCCUGGCCUGAAUCCCACAUAAAUACCUGGCUGUACCUGCCAAGGUACCUAGGCUGGGCUCCAGACUAAUCAAGUCAAGUAGAGAAACAGGCCCAGAGAGGAAAGUGACCUAACCAAGGUCACACAGCCAAGCGUGCGCCUGAGCUACCUGGGAGGGACAGGGUCGCAAGUUGACCAGAGGACCCUCGUAAGGAGUCAGGGCUGAGCCAGAGGUUCCCACGAUGAGUCGGAGUGGUCUGAGUGCCACCGUGGGCUCAGCUCUGAGGAGGACACCCAGCCCAAGGGAUGAACGUCUGGGAACUGAUGUCAUAAACCCAUCUGGAGGCUGGGAGCCAGUUUGAGGCUGGGACUUGUACUAAAGGCCCGAGCCUAUCUCUUGCCUACCAGCUGCUGCUCAGGCUGAACCCAAUCCCAGUUUAUAAGGCACCUCUACCCAGGUGAGAUACUCUACUGGCCAGGAGUGUUAAUGCUGAGCUCUGACCCCCUCAGCCCUGCUCAGACUCAGAGGCAGGGAGUUUUAUACAUUGUGACUUUGGGGGCUCUUGAGUGUCUACCUGUGGUUGGGGAUGGGGCUGUGUCCACCACAGGCCCAAGUUCCCCUAUAGUCCCCAUUCCUUUCAUGUCCUGCCCAGUUACCCCUCCAGCAGCUGUCCUGGAGACCCCAAGAACUGAGGGCGCCACAGCACACAGAGACCACACUAUGGCCUAGCUCCAGGACACCUUCCUUAAACCAACUGCCUACAGAUUUCUAAGGACACAGGACCUAGGGGACAGGAGGGCCUGACUCACCAUCUAAUCGUGUGGCAGGCACUGGUGGGGGUGGGGAAUGAAGACCCUAAGGGAACCAGGGACAGGCCCAGGGCCCCUCCUGAGGACCCUAGUCAAACUGUCUGGCCCUUUGGUGUGGACAUCUGGCCUUGUUCUCAGUGCCCAGGCCCCCCGCCUGGUGGGUGAGGUUCCUGACCCUGUUGCCUUAUACUAUUUUCAGCCCAAGUAAGAACAGGAUUUUCCACUCCCAGCCCCAGACCAUUGUCCAGCAGUGACGUGGAGGGACCUGCCUGCUCUCAAAAUAUCUCCUCUUACUCUCCAGGCCUUGCUGCCCUUUCCCCACCUCCUCACCCUGACAUCACUUCCUGGGGCUGUUGACUCCUGAAGGACGCUGUGAAAGGUCACAGGACCUGACAGGGACCCCAGGGAUUAUCCAGCCCAGCUGCAGACUCCAGGCCAGAGAGGGGCAGGGCCUUGUCCAUGGUCACUCAGCAGGUCAGCGUGGCGCCUGGUCGUGCGCCAGGGGCUCGGGCUGCCCCUGCGGCUCUGCUCCAUUUAGUGCAGGUCAGUGCCUUUGUGGGAAUCCUGCAAUCACCCCACCACCCCAGCUCUUCCCACCUCUGAUGGAGCUGGGGAGCUGAGGCCAGGGACCUGGGGCUGAGGGGGGCGGGGAGAGCAGCUGGGAGGAGUAAAUGCCUGCUGACUGGCCUACAGCAGCUCUUCUCAGUGAGCUCCAUGCAACAGGGGCAGGGGCCCUGGCACAUAGGGGUCUCUGCCCCGGGUGGCAUUUGUCCCAGGGCCCAGGAGGGACACUCUCACCCUCCAAAGGCUAGGAAAGGCCCUGGCCAACGUGCCCUCCAGACACAGUUACUCCUAUCUUGGUCCAGGUCAGGCCACCAAAGCUACCCCUCUGCCACCACCCUUGUCAAGGCAGAUUUGGGCUGAUCUGUUUAGAGCCAGGCCCCUGAGGAAGGGAGCUAAGGUACUGACCCAUGUCCCAGGCACCAGGCAGGGCCCUCUCACAUCCAUUAUUAUUUAUUCUUUACCACCACCAUGUGAAAUAGACAUUAUUACCCCCAUUUAGCAGAUGAGAGGACAGGCUCUGAGAGGUGAGGACUUGCUCCAGGUCAUACAGGCAGUAAAUGGGUGAGUCAAGAUUAAGUUCAGGUCCAUCUGAUGCCCAGAUUAGUUCCCUUUCCAGUAUCCCAUGCCACUUGCAACCCCUGCGGGGCAGGAGAGUUUGUAAGCGACCCUUUGUGUGAUUCAAGAUGAGAGAGGCAGUCUAGUGAGGAUGGAGUUAAGAGCACCAGUUCUCUGCCGAGACCACCUGCGUUUGAGGGUUGUCUCCACUUCUUCCAGCUGUGGCAUCUUGGGCAAAUCAAUCUUGCAGCACCUCCAUUUUCUCAUUUCUAGAAGGAGAUACUACCUCCCAUGUAGGGCAUUGGGAGGCUUACCUGAAUGAAUACACAUGAAGCACUUAGAACAGGGCCUGGCACAUGAUAAGCAUUUACACGCCAGGCACUGUGCCAAGGGGAUACAGAGGCGAGCCAGCUGGACCCUGCCCUCAGGGAGUUGACAUAACUUAAUAAGUAACCACAUUGGGAUAAGUGAUUUGAAGGAAAGGACAGUGUGUCCGGCCAGUGAGCAAUAGAGUGUCCCCUGUGGCUGAGGCUUCCCCAGGGUGUGGGAGGAAAGAGCAGGUCCAUCCUGGGGUGAGGUGUGGGACCACCCUCUGCCCUGCUUGGCACUGGGUGGCUCUCAGGCCCUUGAGCUUGUGUGUGUUUACAGAACCUUGUCCAGGUGAUGGGCUGUGGAAGGGCAGUAAGGGGAAGUGAUGGCAGGAGGAGGAAGAGGAGGAUGCCUCUGAUCUUCCAGAGCCCGCCCCUAUGGGCUCGAGGGCUCCCACCCACCCAUGGCAGCAGGCUUAGCCAUUUCUCCCUGACUGGUGGUGCCCACCACAGGGUGCUGCAGCCUCUCCUUGGUUUAUCCAAGAGUCAGAGACCCAGGGCUGGAGGACUGGCCUGGAGCUGGGCCAGAGCAGGCAAUGGAUGGACAGUUUUUGCUGUGUGACCUGAGGCCAACUGCUUGCCCUCUCUGGGUCACUCUAUAGAACCUGGAGACCUUGCUUCCCACAUUCCAGUUCUCCCUACCUUAGGGCAGCAGCCACCCAGAUUUUUCAUCAAAGACACAACUAACAGCUACUCCCCCAGGCACUCCCAAGACCCCAUGAGUCCUCAGUUCUGAGGACUAGAGUAGGGCAGUGGGUCUCCCCUAGUAUCAAGUGACCAGAAAGGUGAAGUGACUCCAUUGGCACCACACAUUGCCUUGGAGUGGAGCCAGUUGAAUGUCUGAUGCUUCUGCCUCCUGUGGGGUAGAGGCUGGAACUUGGCCAGGAGUCACUGCGCUGCAGGAUGAAGGAUGCAUUUACCUUCCCCAGGGGUAUGUGCUUGAGGUGGGGGGUGAAGGGUGGGGGAAAUGAGCCCCAGAAGCCAAACUCAUCCUCCUCUGUCCUGAUGCACCAUGUGACAUGGUGAAUACUUUUUUCUCUCUGGGCCUCAGUUUCCCCAUAUGCAACAGGCCUUGGCUCUGCCCAGCCACUCCAGCCUCUUCGGUAGGGCUUGCCUCUGUCUCGGCUCCAGCUCAGCCCUGUCCCAGCCAAGAACAAUGGGCCAGACCGAGUCAGCCCCCAGGGGCUCACCUGAGACUAUUUUCAGCCUUUGGAGAUGAAGUCAGAAAAGGAUCUUCCACUCCCAGCACAAUGGCUGCCCUGCACCAUUGUCCAGCAGGGCAUCCGCCUGCCCCAAAGUAUCUCCCCUGCUUCUACCCUCUGGGCCUCCCUGCCCUGCUCCUCACCUCCCAAACUUGACAUCACUUCCUGGGCCUGUUACUCCUAAAAGCCACUGUGAAACAGCAUGUGAGCCCCCUGGGAGACCUGACCAAUUGGAAACAGUUUUCCCUCUUGGCAGGGACCCCAGGGAUUAUUUGGCUGCAUUGAGAGACUGGAGACCAGAGAGGGCUGUGCCUCACCCAAAGUCAUGCAGCGGUCAGCAUAGAGACUAAAUGUGAGGCCAGGGCUCUGUGGCUUCUUCCGUUUCCUCCAUCAGCACUGGUCUCUACCUCCUGGGAGUGACAGCUCAUCUUGCAAGGCCUGGGGUGGACAUCCUGAGGAGAAGCCUGAGUGAUGUGGGUGAGAGGGGGUGUACCUUGGGUUCUGACCUUGGAGCUCCCGAUUGAGUUCUGUUUGUACCAACUGUGGCUUUAGUGUGUGCUGAACUCAGAGUUACCAAGUAGCAGCUUCAGGGAAAGGAGGAGGUCGGGGGACACAGGGAAGCUGAGGCAGGAAGAUCAGGGUUCUGGCCCAGUUUAGCCACCACUAGCUCUGUGACUGCAAACUCAGUUUCUUCAUCUGUAAAAUGGAACUGAUAGUACCUCCUUUUCCAGUUUACUGAACAGUGAGCAUGCAGUAAGGCACAAACGUGCAACUGUUUUAUUUUUCUCCCAUCGACUCUCUCUGCUUGAUGAUGUCUAAUUUCCCUUUUCCAUCCAUAACUGCAUAUUUGGUAAACUCCAAAACUUUGAGUCACUUUUGGAUAACAACUAAAGUUCAGUCCAGUUUAAAAUUCCAAUCGCCUACUUAAUUUACUGCUCCCUCCUCCUCUUCCCCUGUGCUGGGAGGACCCUGCUCCCUCUCCUUUGCGUGCCCCUCUCCUCUGGAUGUGGGGCAAGGUGAGGAGGAAAGGGACCAGUGGAUCAUCCCCGGGACUGCCACAGCCCCCUCUUGCUGUCCUUGCUUCUCUGAUCCUGACAACCUGACAUCAGUGCCCCUCUGCAUGGAGUCUCCCAAACACCAGACCACACUUUUGUAAGAGUCUCUUCAUUAAACAAUCCCAAAGUCA